AAAAACUUUCAUAAUGAAUUGAAACAGGACAAGGUAACAAUGCAUUCAGCAUAUGAAAUAGUAAAAAAGGUUAACAUUUUUUGAUUGUACUAUAUUUUAAAUGCUGUUCUUUCUGUCUUAAAAACCUAUCAUCUGCAGAUAAUAAGAAUGAGUUAGAGGUGGCUCAGUUCCAGAACAAUGCUACUUAGUACCCCCUCUAUCUGAAAACUUCUGGAAGGAUCUUUCAGCCCCGCCCAGCACAUAUGACCCUUCAGCCUGUCUAUUCUUUAUACAGCAUUAUGGCAAACAUUACAUGGAAGAGGGCUCUCUGGGUGGCCAGUAUCAGGCCCUGCUGGAGGUGGACACAAGCUAUGUGAUGGAGAUGAGUAUGUGUUAAAGCUGCGGUAGGGAACUUUUGACGCUCUAGCGGUUAAUAAACAGAACUGCUUGCGUCUUGCGGAAGACCAUCGUAGCCGGAACUACUUCUCUCUGUUUAUGUCUAUGAAGAAUCACAAAGGUACUGUGGAAUCUAAAAUAGUCCGAAUAUAAACACUUAUUAUAGGUGCACCCUUUGUGAUUCAGGACAAGCUAAAAACACGGGUUGGAAAAUGGAUUCAUGGUGUACUCGCUUAUUAUAUACAUUUUUCUACAUUUUGAACACAAACAAAGUUACGGACCGCAGCUCUGAUUGGUUGAUUUCUUACCGGGAGCGGAUGAAUUUCUGCAAAUGGCAAUAGGACCACUGGGAGGAGCCAGAAGAGCUUGAUUUUUUUCACAGAUUAUCUGUCUCAUAUUCUACUGUCAGGACAUAAUGACAGGUUUAACAAAUAUGUAAAAAAAUAUAUAUUUACAAAAAUUACCUACUGCAGCUUUAACUUCCGGUUUUGCUAUAUUAAUAUUUAAAGGGAUAAUUCACCCAAAAAUGAAAAUUCUGUCAUUAAUUACUCACCCUCAUGUUGUUCCAAACCCAUAAAACCUUUGUUCAUCUUCGGAACACAAAUUCAGAUAUUUUUGAUGAAAUCUGAGAGCUUUCUGAUCCUCCAUAGACAGCAAUGUAAUUACCGCAUUCAAAGGCCAGAAAUGUAGUUAGGAUAUCGUUAAAAUAUUCCAUGUGACAUCAGUGUUUCAACCGUAAUUUUAUGAAGCUAGGAGAAUACUUUUUGUGUGCAAAGAAAACAAAAAGUAACGACUUUAUUCAACGACUUUCAUUCUUCCAUGUCAAUCGACGCACGUUCACAAGAGUACCAUGAUGUAUGCAAUAUUCAGUAUUUCAAUAUAAGUGUAUUUGAUUGAAUAUAAUUUUAAAAAUCCAAACAUUUUAAUUUGUGUUUGAUUUUUAUUAUUAAUAUUAUUAUUAAUAUUAUUAUUUUAUGUAAUAUAUUUUAGUGUAAUAUAUUUGAAUGCAGUGCAAUGUUGGCACACAGCCCUUAAGCUUGAUCAACCUUGAUUUUUCUGGUCUAGAGAAUUUUAUUUUAUGCAUGCUUCAGUCCAGGUUUUGUGUGAUGGGUGCCAGAAUGGUCAUUUUAGCUUUUCCUCAUCAACAAAAUCCCUGUGUAAAAUAUGUGUGAAUCUUUCUUUAUUUUUUCUCUCUGUUUAAUGUAGGACAUCCUGUUUAUAUCGCUGGCCUUAAUAUUCUAGAUUUGGAAAACCCUGACAGUAACAAACAGAUGUAUUCCAAAUGGGCUGGAUCAGUUAAAGGAGUUCCCUAAAGUAAUAAAACACAAGUUGUGGUCACUCUAUGAGGUGGUCAAAGAGGUGCCAUGUGCCGGGCUGAAGAAACUCCACCUCAAGGGGGCACUGGAGGCCUAUCUGGAGGAGCAGAGCCCUUGGCACGACAGUGUGUGCAGGCCGGGCAUCAUAAGAGUAACCGAAGGAGUCUGGAGCUGCUGGUCUGCCUGGAGUAGCUGCUUCCAGGGUCAAAGUCAAGGACUCGGUCGUUCCUGCUCCAAGAAACGGAGGCAGGAACUGCAUUGGAGAGACCAUUGAGGAAGAGCUAAUGAUGGAGCCCCAUUGCUUUGAUCCCUCAGUGACACCAGUGAAGACGUGUAAAACUCCACCUUCUUAGACAAAUGGAUUUGUUUUGGGACGCCAAAGACAUCUAUCCAGUGGGCAGUAAGACUGAGUACACCUGCACAGACAGACAUGAUCACAUUGACAAUCCAGUCACUGAAUAUACAGAGAACCUGAUCUGGAGAAUAUCACGCAUGCAGAACAAGUAAACUGCAAAUGUGAUCCUCCAGUGUUUUGAGUAAUGUUAUUGCCACACUUUUAAAACAAGCUUAUCUGAGCGGGAAGAGUGUGACGCUGUCAUGCCUAAGUGGGAUGCAGAAGUGGUGAAGCAGAAAUCAUGUGCUGUCUUGGUCUCAGAUGGUAUCCAGCACCUGAGAGUGUCCGAUGCAAGACAGAUAGUUUGUAGACUCCUACUAAACACUAAUCAGGUACUUGGUUUCCACUAUCUAUUAUAUUGUUUUUUUUAAUAAUGGAAGCCGUGCCGACUCAGCCAAGCCUAUUUUGCAAACCAUGGGAAAAAUCUGCAAAUGGUGUUUGUAAAAUGUCAUAUGAAUGCAAAUAAGUUUAUUAGUUCUGGUAUUGAAUGCUAAAAGUAAUAAUGACCAUACAAAGCACCAUGCAUUAUUGUGAAA